CCUACGGGUGGCAGCAGUGGGGAAUAUUGCACAAUGGGCGCAAGCCUGAUGCAGCAACGCCGCGUGAGGGAUGAAGGCCUUCGGGUUGUAAACCUCUUUUAGCAGGGAAGAAGCGAAAGUGACGGUACCUGCAGAAAAAGCACCGGCUAACUACGUGCCAGCAGCCGCGGUAAUACGUAGGGUGCAAGCGUUGUCCGGAAUUAUUGGGCGUAAAGAGCUCGUAGGCGGUUUGUCACGUCUGCUGUGAAAAUCCAAGGCUCAACCUUGGACUUGCAGUGGGUACGGGCAGGCUAGAGUGCGGUAGGGGAGAUGGGAAUUCCUGGUGUAGCGGUGGAAUGCGCAGAUAUCAGGAGGAACACCAAUGGCGAAGGCACAUCUCUGGGCCGUAACUGACGCUGAGGAGCGAAAGCGUGGGGAGCGAACAGGAUUAGAUACCCUAGUAGUC
rnacentral:rRNA from 1 species